rnacentral:lncRNA from 1 species
AGCAAUUGGAGGGGAGAGGGAAGCAGUUAACCAAGAAAUCACCAUGUUGUUGCACCUAUCCCACAACCUUUGUUGAGCCACAUUAGGGGCAGGUCGGGAGCAUGUGCCAUCAACAAAACCAAUUUUGUUUUUGGCUGACAAAGCGACAAUCAUUUUACGUCUCCAGCCCCCAUAACCACUACCUGAGAAGGGAGUGGGAACAAGGGAGACCCCAGGAACAUCAGAUGAAUAUACAAAAAGGGGACUGGAAGAGUCUACAGAAGAGGAGGCACCAGUAUUUGUGUUAGAAGCCAUAGUCAAUUAACCGGCUUAAAAGAACAAUUUUCAACAAACAGAGUAUAACCAAAUCAGAUAUUCACACACAACAACCAACAAACAGAGUAUAACCAAAUCAGGUAUUAACACACAACACCAGAUAAUCACAUACAAUAUCGAAGCUAAGGACAGAGUUACGCUCCUUCUUCGCGACCGGAGAAGAUCGAAUAAUACCGAAGAUAAGGACAGAGUUACCCUCCUUCUUCGCGACCGGAGAAGAUCGUCCUUCAAACAACAGAGAAAACCCUAGGUAUAAAACCCUAGGUGUAACCCUGGAAAUCCUUACUGGAAAUGUGGUGAGGAACGUCGGAGAGGCACCCAAAACAUCUGCUGAGUGAGAAUCGAGCCACCGAAAAGUAGUAGAACCCUAGGUUAAACCACCAGAAACCCUAGAAGCCGAUAGGUCACCGAGAAACCACCCAAAAUCAGCAGAAAAACUCUCAGAAUGUUCGGGUGAAGAAAAUAUACUCAAAUAUCAUGACGAAAAACUCGGAAAAGCAUCCGAUCUAGGUCAGAACCAUCAUCGACCAUAAGGUCUCAGAAAAAUCCCCAAAAAAAAAUCUCAAAAAGAGAUAAACCAAGACAACGAGAUAUAGAGAAACAUAAUCGGAUCGUCGUGUAGGCUCUGAUACCAUAUAAACAUUGAUAUUAGACCGAAAAAUCAUAGAAACUGUUGAGAGAGAAAGUAGAGAGAAGACAGAGCGUUUGGAACUCUCUGGAAAUGGUAGAAAUAUUAUUACAGAGAAAAAUGAGAGGAAAUGAAAUCCGGUAGGUGAGAAAAUAUCUCACCUACAAUAUACACAUAUUACACACGGACGGGUCGGGUCGGGUGAUCCGGCCCAAAAUUAAAUA